AUUGAACGCUGGCGGCAGGCCUAACACAUGCAAGUCGAGCGGAUGAAGGGAGCUUGCUCCUGGAUUCAGCGGCGGACGGGUGAGUAAUGCCUAGGAAUCUGCCUGGUAGUGGGGGAUAACGUCCGGAAACGGGCGCUAAUACCGCAUACGCCCUGAGGGAGAAAGUGGGGGAUCUUCGGACCUCACGCUAUCAGAUGAGCCUAGGUCGGAUUAGCUAGUUGGUGGGGUAAAGGCCUACCAAGGCGACGAUCCGUAACUGGUCUGAGAGGAUGAUCAGUCACACUGGAACUGAGACACGGUCCAGACUCCUACGGGAGGCAGCAGUGGGGAAUAUUGGACAAUGGGCGAAAGCCUGAUCCAGCCAUGCCGCGUGUGUGAAGAAGGUCUUCGGAUUGUAAAGCACUUUAAGUUGGGAGGAAGGGCAGUAAGUUAAUACCUUGCUGUUUUGACGUUACCAACAGAAUAAGCACCGGCUAACUCCGUG
rnacentral:rRNA from 1 species